rnacentral:rRNA from 1 species
UGGGGAAUUUUGCACAAUGGGGGAAACCCUGAUGCAGCGACGCCGCGUGAUUUAGAAGGCCUUCGGGUUGUAAAAAUCUUUUCUAUGGGAAGAAAAUGACAGUACCAUAGGAAUAAGGACCGGCUAAUUACGUGCCAGCAGCCGCGGUAAUACGUAAGGUCCGAGCGUUGUCCGGAAUCAUUGGGCGUAAAGGGUACGUAGGCGGGUAAGCAAGUUAGAAGUGAAAUCCUAUAGCUCAACUAUAGUAAGCUUUUAAAACUGCUCAUCUUGAGGUAGGGAAGGGAAAGUGGAAUUCCUAGUGUAGCGGUGAAAUGCGCAGCUAUUAGGAGGAAUACCGGUGGCGAAGGCGACUUUCGGGCCAUAACCUGACGCUGAGGUAGAAAAGCGUGGGUAGCAAACGGG